rnacentral:ncRNA from 1 species
GGAACUGUGAGAGACCGUCCGAAGGAAGCCGGAGUGCAAAGCUAUGAGCCGACGAACAGAAACAACAUACAAGGCUGAGUCUCCGGGUAAGUCAGCACGACAUGAAAAAGCCCUGGAUUCGGGAGAUACGGUAAAUGCUGCGGUUGCAUAGUCACAGUUUACGUU